rnacentral:misc_RNA from 1 species
AAGCAGUUCUCGAAAGACUCCAUCAGGCUAGUGAAAAGAUGUACAAAGCCAGAUAGAAAAGAAUUUCAGAAGAUUGCUAUGGCCACAGCUAUUGGAUUUGCCAUCAUGGGAUUUAUUGGAUUUUUUGUGCGAUUAAUUCACAUUCCCAUCAAUAACAUCAUUGUAGGUUCAUGAUUAUGGAAGAGAAUAGUGAAAGAAAGUUCAUCAUUGAACAUUUACCACCAACUUUCGGAUAUUAUUUCAUUAAUUUUGUUGUGAAACACAGACAUAUUAGCAGAUACAGUGAAGAACUGUUUAUGUUGUAAGGUUAUGUAAAUUAUGGAUUGUACAUCUACACAAGGGGAUUUCCUCCUGUUUUCAUUUUAUACCUUUUUGAUGCCAGUCAUUUUGUUUUAAAUAAAAUAUUUUGACUUGAACUUC